rnacentral:misc_RNA from 1 species
GUGAAUCAUCAAAUUUUUGAACGCAAAUUGCGCCUUUUUCGAAAGGCAUGACUGUUUGAGGGCACCAUUUAACAAAUAAUGUGCAGCGGUUUUUGUUGCACACGUUGAUGAUCUUUCCAAGAAUUGUAAAUUGUAGGUGGCGCAUAAUGAACAGCGUGAGCUUUUUUUUUCAGUUCAAUUGUAGUAAAAUCUUCACUGGGGUGGUGAAAAGCGUAAUAGCGC